rnacentral:rRNA from 1 species
UACGGAGGGUGCGAGCGUUAAUCGGAAUUACUGGGCGUAAAGCGUGCGUAGGUGGUUAUUUAAGUCAGAUGUGAAAGCCCUGAGCUCAACUUAGGAAUGGCAUUUGAUACUGGAUAGCUAGAGUUUGGGAGAGGAGAGUGGAAUUUCAGGUGUAGCGGUGAAAUGCGUAGAUAUCUGAAAGAACACCAGUGGCGAAGGCGACUCUCUGGACUAAAACUGACGCUGAGGCACGAAAGCAUGGGGAGCAAACAGG